rnacentral:lncRNA from 1 species
UCAUGCCUGUAAUCCCAGCACUUUGGGAGGCCAAGGCGGGUGGAUCACAAAGUCAGGAGAUGGAGACCAUCCUGGCUAACACGGUGAAACCCCGUCUCUACUAAAAAUACAAAAAAAUUAGCCGGGCGCGGUGGUGGGCGCCUGUAGUCCCAGCUACUCGGGAGGCUGAGGCAGGAGAAUGGCGUGAACCCGGGAGGCGGAGCUUGCAGUGAGCCGAGAUCGCGCCACUGCACUCCAGCCUGGGCGACAGAGCGAGACUCCGUCAAAAAA